rnacentral:rRNA from 1 species
GACGAACGCUGGCGGCGUGCUUAACACAUGCAAGUCGAACGGGCCCGCUCUCUUUUUUGGGGGUGGGUUGAGGGGCGAACGGGUGGGUAUCCCGUGAGUAACCUGCCCCCUGCUCCUGGAUAACUGCUUGAAAGGGCGGCUAAUACGGGGUGUGCCGGCUGGUCCGCAUGGGCCUGGUCGGGGUAGUUUCAUCUUCGGGUGUUUCGGUGGGGGAUGGGCUCGCGGCCUAUCAGCUUGUUGGUGGGGUGAUGGCCCACCAAGGCGGUGACGGGGAGCCGGCCUGAGGGGGUGGGCGGCCACACUGGGACUGAGACACGGCGCGGCCUCGUGCGGGAGGCAGCAGUGGGGGGGGUUGCAAAAGGGGCGGAAGCCUGAUGCAGCGACGUCGCGUGAGGGAUGGAGGCCGUCGGGUUGUGAACCUCUUUCUCCGGUGGUGAAGGGCCUGUCCGUUGAGGCGGGGUUGACGGUAGCCGGGUAUGAAGCGCCGGCUAACUACGUG